AUGGGUGUAACGAAAGCUGCCCGAAGAGUUGUGCUAGAUGGGAUUAUUGGCGAUAUCAUUUCAGAAUUUGUUACUGAAAAGAAAUGCAAGAACCAAAAGCUUGAGUCUUCUGAUCGAACUUCUGAAACUUGCACGUUGGAUAGUAAAAUGAUGAACAACGGGGCUUCCAUUUCUCCUAGUGAAGCAUGCACCUUCCCUUUUUUGGACAACUCAUUAAUAUUAUGA